rnacentral:rRNA from 1 species
CCUACGGGUGGCUACAGUGGGGAAUAUUGGACAAUGGGCGAAAGCCUGAUCCAGCCAUGCCGCGUGUGUGAAGAAGGCCUUCGGGUUGUAAAGCACUUUCAGUGGGGAAGAAAGCCUUGGGGCUAAUACCCUCGAGGAAGGACAUCACCCACAGAAGAAGCACCGGCUAACUCCGUGCCAGCAGCCGCGGUAAUACGGAGGGUGCGAGCGUUAAUCGGAAUUACUGGGCGUAAAGCGCGCGUAGGCGGUCUGAUAAGCCGGUUGUGAAAGCCCCGGGCUCAACCUGGGAACGGCAUCCGGAACUGUCAGGCUAGAGUGCAGGAGAGGAAGGUAGAAUUCCCGGUGUAGCGGUGAAAUGCGUAGAGAUCGGGAGGAAUACCAGUGGCGAAGGCGGCCUUCUGGACUGACACUGACGCUGAGGUGCGAAAGCGUGGGUAGCAAACAGGAUUAGAUACCCUAGUAGUC